rnacentral:tRNA from 1 species
GGGGAUGUGGCGGAAUGGUAGACGCUGCGGACUUAAACUCCGCUGGUUUUAAAAGACCGUGAGGGUUCAACUCCCUCCAUCCCCA